rnacentral:rRNA from 1 species
UACGGAGGAUGCAAGCGUUAUCCGGAUUUAUUGGGUUUAAAGGGUGCGCAGGUUGUUUGAUACGUCAGUGGUGAAAGUCUGUCGCUUAACGGUAGGAUUGCCAUUGAUACUGUUGGACUUGAAUAUGGAUGAGGUAGGCGGAAUGUGUAGUGUAGCGGUGAAAUGCAUAGAUAUUACACAGAACACCGAUUGCGAAGGCAGCUUACUAAUCCAUCAUUGACGCUGAGGCACAAAAGCGUGGGGACCUAAACA